rnacentral:lncRNA from 10 species
CAGGACCAUCAGCUCGGGUGCGUGAAAUGAGCACGGGGAAAGAAAGGGGUUUCUUUUCUGUUUUGUUUUAAGUAGAAUCGUAAUUGGGAUGGGAAGGGACUUUAGAGAUAAUCUAUUCAAGGACAUCAUUUUGUAGUGAGGCAACUGUGUUGUCUCCUGCCCGAGUUCACCCACCUGCUCUUCCUACCAGACCACGUGGGCAGUGCACUGGAACAAAAUCUCUCUAUCAGAUUAUCUCUCCUCUGUUUGUCUCCCUCUCCACCUCUGUGUUCAUAUGCAUAACACACACACACACACACACACACACACACACACACACACACACACACACACACGUUUUCUUUCCAAAUUUCCUCUUAACAAAGUCUAAAGAAUAAUCACUGUUUCUUGCCUCUAUGAUUUUUUUUGACCUCCUCUGAACCCCACACAUUGACGAAGUGCCAGCCAUAGCAAUAGUUUCAGACCCGUGGAGUCAGCUGUGCUGUUGCCAACCUCCAUCACCUGUCCGCCUUUAUCCUGGGCUCUGUUCCUGUGGAUUUGAACAAAUAGAUGAGCGGCAUCGGAAGAAAGCUUUAGCUGCAUGUGUUUGGGUGACCACGAGAGGGCAGCACGUAAGAGACCAGUGUCGGCCCCGCUGCCUUCUUGAACACACCGGAAGCCUCCUAGGAAAACUGCAGAUUUUGUCAGACUGUGAAGUAGAAGAGUCAAAGAGCCUUCAUUGCUUCCUUUUAAAUGACCAGCCUACUAAGGAAUUUAGAAUGCCCAAGUAAGGACUGCUGGUCAGACUGGACUUCAAAAUUCCUGGAUCCUUAAGACCCAAUGCAUCAGACAAAUGUCCUGCUGGAUCCUCCCACCGUCAGCUAAGGGACAGUGCUAGCUCUCUGGUGAGGGAGAUCCGUGUGGAGGUCUCUGGCAUUCCUGGGUCAGUGGAUGGCUGGGAGAACUGCUCAGCUCCAGGUUCCAGGGCCUCUGAUCAAAGCCAACCCUGGGGGCCAGCCAGAGAUAUCGCAAACCUAAGGACUAACGUGGAAUCUACACCUGCCUUGGGAGUAAAGAACAAGCAGGGUGCUUUCCGGGAUGGCUUUGGGAUGAGAUGCCCAAGACUUAGUGCCCCUGGCAUUGCUCAGCUCUCAAGCUGACUUCCACAGCACCCCCAUGGAAGCUUCAUUGGUGCAUCUUUGGGUCUUGAAUGCAGUGCUACAAUAUUGACGAGGAAAGUCUCCUUGGAACCACAGGAAGACAAAAGUGCAGAGUGAUUUGCUGGCCUUGGCUAGGACAGGGUCCAGGGUGCAGCCAAGGGAGGGUGAUCUAAGCCAGCCAUUCUCCUAGUGUGGCUCCUGGACUAUGCGCAACAGCAUCACCUGGGAGCUUGUUAGAAACACUGGUUCUCAGUUCCCAUGCAGACGUCUUGCAUCAGAAAAUCUGGGGCUGG